GUGCUUGCUUGGGCAGCACAUAUACUAAAAUUGUAAUGACACAGGGAAGAUUAGCAUGGCCUUGGUACAAGGAUAACAACAACAAAAGAACAUAUUUCAAAGCUCUA